GACUAACGCUGGCGGCGUGCCUAAUACAUGCAAGUAGAACGCACAGGAUGCACCGUAGUUUACUACACCGUAUUCUGUGAGUUGCGAACGGGUGAGUAACGCGUAGGUAACCUGCCUGGUAGCGGGGGAUAACUAUUGGAAACGAUAGCUAAUACCGCAUAAGAACAUUUACUGCAUGGUAGAUGUUUAAAAGGUGCAAGAGCAUCACUACCAGAUGGACCUGCGUUGUAUUAGCUAGUUGGUGAGGUAACGGCUCACCAAGGCAACGAUACAUAGCCGACCUGAGAGGGUGAUCGGCCACACUGGGACUGAGACACGGCCCAGACUCCUACGGGAGGCAGCAGUAGGGAAUCUUCGGCAAUGGGGGAAACCCUGACCGAGCAACGCCGCGUGAGUGAAGAAGGUUUUCGGAUCGUAAAGCUCUGUUGUUAAGGAAGAACGUGUGUGAGAGUGGAAAGUUCACACAGUGACGGUACUUAACCAGAAAGGGACGGCUAACUACGUGCCAGCAGCCGCGGUAAUACGUAGGUCUCGAGCGUUGUCCGGAUUUAUUGGGCGUAAAGCGAGCGCAGGCGGUUAGAUAAGUCUGAAGUGAAAGGCAGUGGCUCAACCAUUGUAGGCUUUGGAAACUGUUUAACUUGAGUGCAGAAGGGGAGAGUGGAAUUCCAUGUGUAGCGGUGAAAUGCGUAGAUAUAUGGAGGAACACCGGUGGCGAAAGCGGCGCUCUGGUCUGUAACUGACGCUGAGGCUCGAAAGCGUGGGGAGCGAACAGG
rnacentral:rRNA from 1 species